rnacentral:lncRNA from 1 species
GGGAGGGCAGGAGGAGGCAGGAAAGCGCCGCAGCCAUCCCCAGCGCCCUGCGGGCAGCCGCGAUGGCCGGGGCCGCCUCUUUGUGUGGCAGCAGCGCGAAGAUGGCGCGGGGGCCGGCGGCAGCGCCGCCGCCGUGAGGGGCCGGCGCAGGCCCUCCUCCCCCCGGCCUCCUCCCCUCCUCCCCGCCGCCUUCACAACGGCCGCCGAGGGCCGGGGGCGGCCGGGCCGGCCGGGGCUCGGUGCCGUCGCCUCCGCUGCCACCGCCGAUGGGGGAGUGCGGGGUGCCCCCCCAGGUGCAGCUCUUCCUCCGUGCCUGCGAGCAGGGCGACUGCGAGACCGCCCGGCGCCUGCUGGGGCUGCCCGGCGGCAGCGCCGAGCCGGCGGCCGCCUCCGCCUGCGGCAGCGAGGAGCCGCCGCCGCCGUCCCCGUGGAUUGCACCGACGAGGCCGGCAACACCGGGCUGCAGUUCGCCGCGGCGGGCGGCCACGAGCAGCUGGUGCGGUUCCUGCUGCGGAAGGGGGCCUCGGUGCAGAGCAGGAACCACUACGGCUGGAGCCCGCUGAUGCAGGCGGCCAGGUAGGGGCGCACGCUUCACCCCCACCCGAGGGGCCGGGCACCCACCUGCUGCCCUCCCCGGGGGGCAGGAGGGGCUGGCGGGGGCUGGUGUGCACAGGCAUCCACCCCAGGUAUCGAGGUGUUGGAGCUGGGCACCCCUUGGUACUGCCAGGGGUGCCCCAAAGCGCCGAGGGCUCACCCGGACCCCAAAACGCUGCAUGCUCAUCCUCCCUUCUGCAUGGGAAGAUCUGUGCAAAACCCCUGCCUGGUUUCUGUCCUUCUUCUCUUAGCCCGACCUAUUGGAAAAUCACCUCCGGUUUAAAACGGAUUGAACGAAGUAUCAACAAUUCGUUUUGCUCGCCUCUUCCUUGUUUUCCCAAAGGGCUCGCUGGAGGAUGUGCAGAGUCAUUAUUUUGGGUAUUAGUGGCAGAGCUGGGUUGUUUUCAGUAUCGUGCCACUCGCGUGUCACUCACCGCAGAGCUGCGGAUGGUUCCAGUAUUGCUAACGCUGGGGUUUGUGCUUAUCUCGAUGUAUACAAAUACCCAUUGGAUUUACAUGCUUUGCAAGGUUGGGGGGCAGUGCUCUACUUUGAUUAAAUCAGUGCUUAAUUGAGAGGAGAUUUUUUCUUUUUCUUUCAUAACACAUUUAAAUACUUGGAAGAAAAAAAAGUCUGUUUGAAAGUCAACAUUCUCUUUUCAAUUAAAGCCCACAGAAAGUUCCCAAAGAAUGAGUCACACAGCUGGUUUUCCAGUAAGAACAAGGAAGACAAGGUUCAGCAGUUCUGUUAUUUUACAAAGGUUAAAAAAAAAAAAAGCCCUAAAAACAUUCUUAGAUUUUUUUUCCUUAAUGAAAACCUUACCCUCGUUCUCUAAAAAUAAUAAACUAAAUCACCAUAGUCUUCUAAUUGUUUUA